rnacentral:rRNA from 1 species
UACGUAGGGUGCGAGCGUUGUCCGGAAUUAUUGGGCGUAAAGAGCUCGUAGGCGGUGUGUCACGUCGGCCGUGAAAACCUGGGGCUUAACUCUGGGCGUGCGGUCGAUACGGGCAUCACUAGAGUUCGGCAGGGGAGACUGGAAUUCCUGGUGUAGCGGUGAAAUGCGCAGAUAUCAGGAGGAACACCGGUGGCGAAGGCGGGUCUCUGGGCCGAUACUGACGCUGAGGAGCGAAAGUGUGGGGAGCGAACAGG